rnacentral:rRNA from 1 species
CCAGACUCCUACGGGAGGCAGCAGUGGGGAAUAUUGCACAAUGGGCGCAAGCCUGAUGCAGCCAUGCCGCGUGUGUGAAGAAGGCCUUCGGGUUGUAAAGCACUUUCAGCGGGGAGGAAGGCAAUAAGGUUAAUAACCUUGUUGAUUGACGUUACCCGCAGAAGAAGCACCGGCUAACUCCGUGCCAGCAGCCGCGGUAAUACGGAGGGUGCAAGCGUUAAUCGGAAUUACUGGGCGUAAAGCGCACGCAGGCGGUCUGUCAAGUCGGAUGUGAAAUCCCCGGGCUCAAACUGGAAACUGCAUUCGAAACUGGCAGGCUGGAGUCUUGUAGAGGGGGGUAGAAUUCCAGGUGUAGCGGUGAAAUGCGUAGAGAUCUGGAGGAAUACCGGUGGCGAAGGCGGCCCCCUGGACAAAGACUGACGCUCAGGUGCGAAAGCGUGGGGAGCAAACAGGAUUAGAUACCCCCGUACAU